rnacentral:lncRNA from 1 species
CUGUUUUUACAUUUUAUCAUGAGAGGAAGCCAUACACAACACUUAUUUGCCCAAAAUAACCCAUCUGGCUAUUUUUUUAAAGCCAGUUUCAUUGCUUCGCUUAGUGAAAAGACUCAUCUGGGCAGGGGACUUUGUAGUCAAAUAACAGGUGCCUUUUUUGCAGUCAGAAAAAUGGAUAACUACAGCAAAAAACGAAGAGUUCUCUCAUCUGCUUUAUUCCUUCUGCAUAUUUUUCAUGUUCACAAAAACACAACUUGUUAGGUUACCUUUAAAUCAUUAAUUGAAUUUUGAACUUAUUGGUGCAUAGGAGGUGGUGCCAUGGGGUAAGCAACAGGGACAAUGUAAGGAGGAGGGGAAUGAGGAUGGUGAGCAGGAGGAAGCAUAACAGGAGUUCCUACAGCAGAUCCAAUAUGCCCUGGAGCAGCAGCAAUCGGCCGCCCAACAGGCGCUCCGUACAUGCCUAAACCCGGCAAAUGCGGAUGAGCCCUGUGCUUCACUGAUUGCCCCAUGACCGCUGCACCGGGUGAGUUUGUGUUAGCCUGUUGGCCUGUGAUAGGCGCUUGAUGAGAUGUAUCCCCAUUGUUAACACUCGUGAUGUCGUGGAUGCUGGACCGCCGCCGGUCUCUAUUCAUCGAAUUUAAGCGUAUAAAAUACUUUUGUGCAUGGCUAGCCACCUGCGUCGGAGUUCUCGAUAUCACAAAGUUCCUUGAAAUGCUUCUCCAAUCUCCUUUCCCAAACUUGUCUAAACCAAGUAGAAAUAACCUGAAUAACACAUGUAAUGUUGCUUGUCACAUUACAUAUAUCUUUAUUUUCUAUAAGACCCCAAAUCCUAAGGCACUCAAGUCUUAAUUCGAGUCACGUUCCAAUACUUAAGUCAGUAUUUAAGAAAAAAAAGAAAAACAGACAAGAAGUAGUAGAGGGGAAUACCUAUGCUCUUCUUCAGUCCAUGGGAUUCCUUUCCUUCUUUCUUGGUCGGACCUCGAACUCUGUUUCCCUCCAUGUCCGGUAGAAUCAAGGGUUAACCCCGAAAACCCAUUUCCGUAACCGGAAUUGGAUCUCCUAUCAGAAUUAGGAGCCAUGGAAGGUCCAUGAAAAUGAUCCUUGGCAGAAGAGGAAGGUUCUUCUCCUUUAUAACGAGGAAGUGGGACAUGACCAGCCUCUAUUGCAGUAACAUCCUCCACUAAUAAUUCAUAGUGAAGUUUCAACUCCUCAAGACUUUUAGUAGGAACCGUUGAAGCAAUCUUUUCCCAUUGCUCUUCACAUUCCUCUUUCUCUAUCCAAUGCAUUGCUAUUGCGUUUUCAAAUGCCUUCUCUUCUUCCCUGCUCCAACUAACACUUCCUGCCAUACUACCAAUAAUACCCUACAAAAGAGGUCACUCAAUUUCUAAGCUCAAUGUUCUCUUAUGUUCAACAGCUUAGUUGCAUUUGGAAAGGGUCGAAAAAUAAAAAUAAAAUAAUGGGAAAUGAGAGUGUAGGAUAAGGGAUAGAAGUAUAAAAUAAAUUAGGGGGAAAUUAAAAUAUAAAAUCUAAAACAUAAAAUGAAAUUGAUAUGGACCACUUUGAAAGCAAUUCAUAAAUUGUCAUCUUCACUGAUAGUCUAUUGAAAGGAGUAGAGUCGACUUGUUUUAAAGUAUCUGGACUGAGUUCAAAUUCUGAAAUUAUCACUGUUGGAAAGAUUUCUCCUAAAUACUACUACUCAAAUAGAAUUAGUCUCAAACAAUAAAGUGAAUUAUGACACUUGUAGCUAUAAAAAAAAUUUUAAAUUUUCAUGUUCCUAAUUAGAAGGUAAGAAAAAUUAUAUAAAAUUUAAAAAAGAAUUCAUAAAAUGCUUCCUUUUUAAUGCAUUUGUAGUUAUACAUAUUUUUUUAAUCUCUCUAUUUUUCAAGAAAUUUAGUCUAUGUUGUUUUUUUUUUAAAUUUAAAUCUAAUUAAUAAAUUUACGCUAUAUUCGAAUAUACGAUAUUUCAAUAUUCAUUGAUUGAUUUAAAGAAAUUAAAGGCACAUUCAAAUUUAAUAAAAGUUAACAAAAGGUUUAUCAAUUAAUUUUUAUAUUAAAAUUUUAAAUCAGACUAUUCAAGAGAUUAAAAGUAGAAUAGUUAAAUUUAAUUUUUUCAAAAAUGUAUAGGGACUGAGAUGCAAAAUAGCAUCUCUUUUUUACUCUAAUCAUAGAGGGAGCAAGAUCAAGGGAGAUGAGGUCCCAGAGAAUCUUUCUAGAAGAUUACCACCACGCGCGCAUUUUGUACAUUCUUCUCAUAAUUAAAUUAAAAUAUGUUUUAAAGUUACAUACUUUUCAUAAAUUUAAAUUUUAGUUUUUAUAAUUUUAUUUUCAAGAAUUUAAUUUAUUUAUUUUAAAAAAAUUUAAAUUCAAGUUUAAUGUUAAUAAUGUUAAUUUUUUUUUGUUAAAUUUGAUAAUGUGAUAUUGAAAUAAUAAAAAAGUACUCACUCGGUAACGAUACAACUAAAAAAUUAGUGUUAUAGUGAGCCUAAAUUUUUUUAAAAAAAUUUAACAACAUUAACAAUUAGAUUUAAAUUUUAAAUUUUAAAAAAUAAAAAACAAAAAUAUAAAAACUAAAUUUUAAAUUUAAAACUAUACUAUUAUGCCUUCUUUCCUUGUUAUUUGGACUGUUUAUAGAAAUUUUAUACCUUUUGCAGUAAUAAAAAAUUUCAAAAUUAUAUUUUUUUAUUUGAAAUUUUAAACUUAUUUUAAUUUGGUAAUUUUAUAUUUUCUAACUGUGCUAAAUUUUCAUAAUACAAAGCUUUGGUAAUAUAGAAGUAAUUUUAAUGUCAUCUCUUCGUAAAGUAAUGUAAGAUUUCUCAAUUUUAUGAAAUUAACGAACAACUUAUUUGAAUUAAUAAUAUUUAUUUUUUUAACAAAAUAAAUCAAUUUCCAUUAUAUUAAUAUAUUUUUUAAUAAACAUUAAUAUUUUAUAUCUUUAAAUUACAUCAGCUUCAAUUAUCGAAGACUUCAAUUUUAAAUAAGUCUAAUUUUUACAUUUAAAUUAAAAAUACGUAUACUUGUCAUAACUUUUUAAUUUCAUAAGUAUAAUUAAUUUUACAAGAUGAAUUUUAAAUACAUUUUGAGAUCUAUACUAUUUGAGUGGCUUAUUCUAAAUUUGCAAAAUCAGCAAGAUUAGCGUUUGGGAGAUGUUGACUAGCAUUGUCUGUUUGGGAUCAUUGCUUAGCGCUUGUGGAAAAACCACUAUUUUCAUUUUUCAAGGUACUUCAUGGAGCGGUAGUGAAAUUAUCAA